rnacentral:tRNA from 1 species
GCCAUCCUAGCUCAGUUGGUAGAGCACACCCUUGGUAAGGGUGAGGUCGUGGGUUCAAGUCCCAUGGAUGGCU